rnacentral:rRNA from 1 species
UACCCUUGACAUGCCACUAACGAAGCAGAGAUGCAUUAGGUGCUCGAAAGAGAAAGUGGACACAGGUGCUGCAUGGCUGUCGUCAGCUCGUGUCGUGAGAUGUUGGGUUAAGUCCCGCAACGAGCGCAACCCUUGUCUCUAGUUGCUACGAAAGGGCACUCUAGAGAGACUGCCGGUGACAAACCGGAGGAAGGUGGGGAUGACGUCAAGUCCUCAUGGCCCUUAUGGGUA